rnacentral:rRNA from 1 species
UGGAUAACCUACCUAUAAGACUGGGAUAACUUCGGGAAACGGAGCUAAUACCGGAUAAUAUUUUGAACAGCAUGGUUCAAAAGUGAAAGACGGUCUUGCUGUCACUUAUAGAUGGAUCCGCGCUGCAUUAGCUAGUUGGUAAGGUAACGGCUUACCAAGGCAACGACGCAUAGCCGACCUGAGAGGGUGAUCGGCCACACUGGGACUGAGACACGGUCCAG